GAUUUUGUUAGUAAUACAUUUUGUUUACCUUUUGUUUCAGAUACUGCCUUUUAUUAAUGUUUCAUUACACUUAUAAUUUGAAAUUUACCUUUUAUUAGCAUUGUAUUGGACUUAUAUUCUUAAAUGUUGCCAUUUGUUUGUAUUUCAUUCCACUUAGAAUCAACACUUACAUAUUUUGUUUGUAUUUCAUUACACUUGCUUUCAAAAACAAGAAGUUUUGUUCAUAUUUCAAUACAUUUGUAGGUUUGGACGACUUGUUUCACAAAAUCUAGCAUAAACAAAUUAGUUUCAUAUUUCAUUGAUAUUGGCUAAAUACUGCUGCUGCUGCUGUUUUGAAUUUAGAGCUACAUCUACCAUUCACUAUGUUCUUCAUAUACAUAAUUAUACACUUCUGACGAUUGCAAAGGUUUGUCAGUAAGUAAAUGGCUACUGAGCACUUGCAAAUGCAUAAUAUUCUUUAUAAUACAUAAUCAGCUUUAAGAGAGACAAUCUAUAAACAGAGACCACUUAAAAUAAUAAUUAAAACUUCUCCUGAAAAAACAAUUCCAAUGUUUUUCUCAUUCCAUAGAAUUCCUUAGAAUUUUUUAAGAUAAUGCAAUUAAAGUUUUCCUAGUAAGAUUUUUUUUAUUUAAAUUGCAGCAAAGAUUACAUUGAAAAUCUUAAGAUUUGUUUGGAUUAUACUAGGUAUCCAAAUUAAUUGAAAUGAAACAAGGAAUCUAACUAAUUAAAAUUUAUGUCAAUGUUUUCAUUUUGUAUAUUAAAAAUAGGUUAAUUAGAAUUCUAUCAUUUUAUUUAUAAUUAAUAUAACAAGAUAUAUCAUUGAAAAUAGGUCCUAUUUAUAAAUUAUAUAAGCUAUUUAUUUUUUGGUUAUUGAACACCUCAAACAACAGCACCAGAUAAUAGGCAUUAAAAGUCAUUUCAUAAGUGCAACAAAUUGUAAAUGAUAUGCUUUUGAUAUAAUGUUACAUCCUCAUAAAUGAAUUAGUCUAUUCUUUUGAUGAUUGGCAAUGAUUAAUUAUCCUGCUUUUACAGCCACUUGAUAUACUGCUGUUCAAUGUAUACACAUGUGUUAACACACGUACAGAGAUACAGCUUAUCUGAUCAAGAUAAGGACCAAUGAAAAUACAGGCUUCUGAACCGUUUUACAGCUGUACACCAAAAAAUAAUCCCCAUCUUUCUGCUUGUUUUCUUUUCUCUGAGAUCUUUGCAAAUGCUGUGAGCAAAAUAAAUGGUCAAAUUUUCCCAUGAACUGUAUACUUAUAUAUUUUAAGAACACAGAUAUUCCCUUCAGUAACUAUAUAUUGUACCAAAGAAAAUGGCUCAUGAAUACAAAAAUUUGAAUGUAAACAGGAAGUUCAUUGUUCAUGUUGUUGGAGGCAAAUGGAAUAAAGCUAACUUGAAACUCUAAAAUGCUUUUAGAGAGAUAUCAGGUGAAAGAGUGUGCAUAUAUCUAGUUACUAGAGGUAUAUGCCUAUAUGUAUGAAUUGAUGUAGUUGGAGAAAUCAGAUCGCUUCAGUGCAUGACUAUGCUACAGGAUGAUACAAGAUCACAGACAGAAAUUCGAUCAAGGAUCAAACAUAAAUUACAUAAUACUUCAACUAAAUUAAAUGCAUGGCUGGAAUGAAGUUCCUGACCCUGGUGAUGAUUUUGGAAAAGCAAAGAGACAUUCUGAUGCCACCUUGUAUUGAGCCUGCAAUACUCCAAAAUGAUUUUGUUGUAUUCAUAAUUUUCUAUCAAAUAAUCUUUUAGUUUAAUUUUCAAAUUUAAGCUAAGUGAAUUUUUAUUAUUCUUAACCACAAGUGUAAAAGUCGCUGGCAGAUGUGUUAUUCCCCUUUGAAUUUUAUUCUUUUUGUUUUUUAUGAAACCCAGAUCUGUCUCAACAUUAGAUUAAAAUAAUUUUGUAAUGAUA